GGCCGCGGCUGGAGCCGGGCAGGGGCGCGGGAGAAGCAGGUACCGGCGCGGGCUGCGCAGCCCCAGGCGCGAGAGCUGCGCUCACUGCCUGCCGGAAGGACGGUCCCCGCGGGAGCCAGGGACCGCGGCGUCCGAGCGGGCCGGAUUGGCGCCUGGCCCGGUACGGUCCGAAGUCCGCGCUAUGGGAGAAGAGAAAUACUUGCCUGAGCUGAUGGCAGAGAAGGAUAGCCUGGAUCCAUCUUUUGUGCACGCGUCGCGCCUUCUGGCGGAAGAAAUUGAGAAAUUUCAAGGUUCAGAUGGAAAAAAGGAAGACGAAGAAAAGAAAUAUCUUGAUGUCAUCAGCAACAAAAACAUAAAGCUUUCUGAAAGAGUAUUGAUUCCUGUUAAGCAAUACCCAAAGUUCAAUUUUGUGGGGAAAUUGCUUGGACCGAGAGGAAACUCCUUGAAGAGGCUACAGGAAGAAGCAGGUGCUAAGAUGUCUAUCCUGGGCAAAGGAUCCAUGCGAGAUAAAGCAAAGGAAGAAGAGCUGAGGAAGAGUGGAGAGGCCAAGUAUGCACACCUGAGUGAUGAACUGCAUGUAUUAAUUGAAGUGUUUGCUCCACCUGGGGAAGCUUAUUCACGGAUGAGUCAUGCCUUGGAAGAGAUUAAAAAAUUCCUGGUACCUGACUACAAUGAUGAAAUUCGUCAAGAACAACUCCGAGAGUUGUCUUACUUAAAUGGCUCAGAAGAGUCUGGCCGUGGCCGAGGUCUUAGAGGCAGAGGAAUCAGAAUAACUCCCAUAGCUCCUUCAAGGGGCCGUGGGGGUGCUAUUCCUCCACCACCACCACCUGGACGAGGUGUUCUUACCCCUCGGGGGACCACUGUGACCCGUGGAGCUCUUCCAGUGCCCCCAAUAGCGAGAGGUGUCCCUACACCUCGUGCUCGUGGGGCCGCAGCAGUACCCGGGUACAGAGCACCCCCACCUCCAGCCCACGAGGCUUAUGAAGAAUACGGGUACGAUGAUGGCUAUGGGGGUGAAUACGAUGACCAGACCUAUGAGGCUUACGAUAAUAGCUAUGUGACCCCGACACAAAGAAUGCUGUCAAACUCAUUGCCUGUGCUGGGAUCACGAAGUGAAUUUCUCUGCUUUCCUCUGAGAGUUGUGCCUGAAUACUAUGACUACGGUCAUGGAGUAAAUGAGGAUGCCUACGACAGCUACGCACCAGAAGAAUGGGCCACAACUCGUUCCAGCCUGAAGGCACCACCACCAAGGUCAGCCAGAGGGGGAUACAGGGAACACCCCUAUGGUAGAUAUUGAAGGUCCUCUUCACCUGUGACCUCCUCAGAGACAGUUCAUAGCCUCUGGUCUCCACAUAAACAGCAACAAGACAAGUAUGCACAAAGAACACCAUAAAUGGUAGCAGCUGUGAUGGGCUAAGGAGGAUAAAGGACUUCAUUCCUUUGUAUGGCUGAAUAGUAUUCUGCUAUGCAUAUGGACUGCAUUUACUUUAUCUGUUCAUCGGCUGAUGGCCAUUCUGGUAUUUCCAUGUCUUGACUACUGUGAAUAGAGCUGCAAUGAACAUAGGAAUGAAGACUAAAGAUGAAGUUAAUUGGGCCCAGGGCUGAAAAAAAAUGUCAUCAAAAAUGAGAUGAGAUUGGAUGGAAUGAUCAGAUGUGGAGAAAAAGGAAAAAGCUCCCGUUCCUCUCUGUUUGUUUUCGGCUUGACACAGAAAGAAAAAGGUGGAAAACCUCUGCUGUUCACUGCUAUGGCUGCCCACUAAUAGAGAAGCCCCAGCUCUCCCAGGAGAAUACCUGUCAGUAAAACCUUGCUGUCCAGCCAGUGAGAUGGAAAAGUGAAACUGUGACUCAUCUAACCUUCAUCCAGCUGUGUCAUAAUUGCCAUGUACAGGACAUCAUACUGGAUGCUAAAUGUAAAUAAUCACAGCUAUCUGUAAAUCAGGUCCCCACCUCCAGGACUGCAGAAUCUGGAGGAAAAAUAAAGAUUAAAAUACACAGAGAACAAUACUGAUUUUCAUUAUUGAAAUAUUCAAAUGGCAACUGAGUUAUCAAAUUCAUCAAAGAAAUUAUAUGUUGAAUAUGACACAGAUUUAUUGAUACUGCCAGAAGUCCAGUGAGAAUGGAAAUAAAAUCCCUUGCAGCUUGAACUACUGGAUUAGGAGAUUUCUAAAUGCAAUUUGCUAAUGAAGACAACACACUGCUGAGGAAAAUUCAUAAUGUUUGUUGGCUGAUGCAACUAACUUGAAAUAAAGCAUUUUCGGAGUACAAAAUAAUGAAAAGGUGAUUAAGCUCAAGUUUGAAAAAGACAUAAUUAAGUACAAGUUGUGUUUAGGGGCCAUGGAGCUUUCAGUGUUUGGGGUAUAAUUAAUAAAAAUGUAUAAAGGAAUAAUAGAAACUCCAGCACUAUAAAAAGCAAUCAAAUUGUUGAGAUCUUUAAAUAAAAAGACUUUUUCAUUUUGUAGAAAUACUAUUUGAAUAUACAAAUGAACUUAAUAAAACAUGAUUUUGGAAAUGU